GUUUAAACUCAUUGGCUAAACAUAUUGGUCUUGAAAGACCCCAGAAGUGGGGAGACCCUCACUCAAGUCUCAGGAUGAUACGACCCCCCAAGAACUCAUGAGAGACU
rnacentral:pre_miRNA from 14 species